rnacentral:rRNA from 1 species
GACGAGGGCGCGAGCGUGUCCGGAUUUAUUGGGCGUAAAGAGCUCGUAGGCGGCUUGUCGCGUCGACUGUGAAAACCCGCCGGCUCAACUGCGGGCUUGCAGCCGAUACGGGCAGGCUAGAGUUCGGGUAGGGGGAGCGUGGAAUUCCUGGGUGUAGCGGUGAAAUGCGCAGAUAUCAGGAGGAACACCAGCGGCGAAGGCGGCGCUCUGGGCCGGUACUAACACUGAGGGAGCGAAAAGCGUGGGUAGCAAACAGG